UCGGGCAUCCACAGGAAGGAGAACCAUCAUCACUGCCUAUAAUUUAAUUGUUAAGAUAGAAAUGAUUUAUUUAACACAGGUACUGUCCUGCCUUUGCCUUGUGGCCUCUGCUUGGGCAGUCUCGACACCUCCACCGACGGCAAGGCGACAGAAUCCAUCACCUUUGGGCCCUGCUUCAGGUAACAUCACAAAUGGUCAGCUAUUUUCUAUUUAUAAAAGUCGGAAUCCUAGCUUAGCUCAUACGGUCGCUGACAUGGCCCCAAUGUCUCAGUCAUAAAAAUGAAAUGGCGACUCCGUUCCCGCACUUAUCUGCAGUUCCCGCGAACACAUUAUGGUCUACAUUUGCGCGCGAUUGCAAAGACGCUGACGGCACGAGCAACCGACCUGGAGCUGCACAGAAUGCCGUAGGCGGGCCGCGCCUACCUUCACUGCUGCGCAUCGCACAAGGCAUUUGUGCCAACACUCCAAACAACAGCUGGGUAUCCGAUGCCCCGGUAAGACAUCUGGGACACGACAACUUGGGACUUAAUGCUCUGUUUUGCGGGCUGUUGCUCUACGAAGCAGCUUUGGAAGAGGAUUUCGCGGUCCUUUCCAUUCCUCUAAAGCCCACAACGAAUCGACGCACACGCACACAAACAAAAUCUUGUUUCCUAGUGAAAGUCCAUUCCGUAUUUUUCGUACGUACUAGGGUUAUGCAUGCGGUGAAUGCAUGAACAUAUGGGGUUACAGAGGAUUCCGG
rnacentral:lncRNA from 1 species